GCGGGGGAUAACUAUUGGAAACGAUAGCUAAUACCGCAUAACAGUAGAUGUUGCAUGACAUUUGCUUAAAAGGUGCAAUUGCAUCACUACCAGAUGGACCUGCGUUGUAUUAGCUAGUUGGUGGGGUAACGGCUCACCAAGGCGACGAUACAUAGCCGACCUGAGAGGGUGAUCGGCCACACUGGGACUGAGACACGGCCCAGACUCCUACGGGAGGCAGCAGUAGGGAAUCUUCGGCAAUGGACGGAAGUCUGACCGAGCAACGCCGCGUGAGUGAAGAAGGUUUUCGGAUCGUAAAGCUCUGUUGUAAGAGAAGAACGAGCGUGAGAGUGGAAAGUUCACACUGUGACGGUAUCUUACCAGAAAGGGACGGCUAACUACGUGCCAGCAGCCGCGGUAAUACGUAGGUCCCGAGCGUUGUCCGGAUUUAUUGGGCGUAAAGCGAGCGCAGGCGGUUAGAUAAGUCUGAAGUUAAAGGCUGUGGCUUAACCAUAGUACGCUUUGGAAACUGUUUAACUUGAGUGCAAGAGGGGAGAGUGGAAUUCCAUGUGUAGCGGUGAAAUGCGUAGAUAUAUGGAGGAACACCGGUGGCGAAAGCGGCUCUCUGGCUU
rnacentral:rRNA from 1 species